UGAAACUCCAAUAUUUUGGCCACCAGAUGAGAAGAACUGACUCACUGGAAAAGACCCUGAUACUGGGAAAGACUGAAAGCAGUAGGAGAAAAGGGACGUCAGAGGAUGAGAUGGUUGGAUGGCAUCACCGACUCGAUGGACACGAGUUUGAGCAAACUCCCGGAGUUGGUGAAGGACCGGGAAGUCGGGCGUGCUGCAGUCCAUGGGGCCGCAAAGAGUCGGACACGACUGAGCGACUGAACUGAACUGAUAAGUGUUCGGUAGGUGGAGCCAUAAAUUUAAUAAUAAUAAAAAAAAGUUUUUAAGAAGAAAAAUAACUAAGAACUCUCAGGUCAGCUGAAGACCAGGUCGUGAGUAUUCAGGCGGCCGGCGGUCCGCUGACCCCCGGAGGCGUAGAGGGAACUCGCAACUCCAUUUCCUGACUGCGAGGUGACACCUGGAGAACGCGUUCGGAGCCACGCGAGGCCCAGAAAGCUCACAAGUCGGCGCAACCCAGCUGCGCUGCCAGCAGAAUACCGACGCGGGGAGAGCGUCGCCCAGGCAACGACUCUACCCCGCCCCGCCCCGCGGAAGACACUGUCAUUGGCUAUCUUCCGCAUGGUCCUGCCCUUAGAGCACAACAGUCUCCCUUACCUGAGCGCUCUCGUCCGCGCCCCCGAGGGCAGCCGCGCCGGGGCUGGAGGGUUAUCCUGUUGCUACCUGACCUUGGCUGGUGUGCCCGCGUUUCCUGUCCGGCUGCCCACUUCAACUUCCGGUUUUUCUGGGUCUUUCAUGGAGCCCCACUGUGGACCGGGGGCACGUGGGCAACUGGGACGAUUUCCAGGGAAGGUGAGCACCUGAGUCGGACGCCUGGAAGUCACUGUUAGCAGCGAUCACUGAGCCUGGCCGCUGCGCUCCCGGCCAGUUCCCCGAGGUUCUCACCCAGGCUCGAGGCACCGAGACCACCACGUCGGAUCGUUACCCGAGGAGACCACGUCCUUCCUGCAGCUCUGCGCCAUCGCGUCCGGACGGGGCCCGCUGCUUCCGGUCGCAGGGCCCGGACCUGGCCUACUCAGCGAGGGCCGCAGCGCUCGGCGCGCGGGUCGGUCCUGGAGGCGGGGCCGGGGCGGCGGGGCCCGACUUGGGGCGUGGUGGCCCCGCAGAGGUGGAGGGGUUCAGGACACACCUCCGCCCACCGCCCCGGCCACGCCCAGGGGCGGGGCCUCCUUUCCACGUCCGGGGUGGGUUUUCAUAGUCCCGCCCAGGGUGAGGUUCCCGGCCCCGCCCACCCGCGA
rnacentral:lncRNA from 1 species